rnacentral:rRNA from 1 species
UACGAAGGGGGCUAGCGUUGCUCGGAAUCACUGGGCGUAAAGGGUGCGUAGGCGGGUUCUUAAGUUAGAGGUGAAAGCCUGGAGCUCAACUCCAGAACUGCCUUUAAUACUGGGAAUCUUGAGUUCGGAAGAGGUAGGUGGAACUGCGAGUGUAGAGGUGAAAUUCGUAGAUAUUCGCAAGAACACCAGUGGCGAAGGCGGCCUACUGGUCCGAUACUGACGCUGAGGCACGAAAGCGUGGGGAGCAAACAGG